AGCUAUUAUUUGAAAUACCUUAAGAAAUCUAUAGGAUAGAGAUAUCCUAGGAACUUUUAUAAUCAUUACAGGUUUUAUAGUACUUAAUAAAUUUCGACAAGUUCAAAACUUUCAUAGAGUAUAUGAAAUUUGUUUAUUGAAAUAAUUUAUUGAUACUUGAGAGAGAUUAAUAUUUACAUUAGAAAAACCUGAUUAUCAACAUUAGGAGUAAUUAAUUUAAUCGAGAAAGUUCACAUAAGCAUAGUUAUAGUAAGUCAGAAAUCCUAGAACUAGUACAAUUGAAUUCAUUAAUAUUUAAUCAUUUGGUUGUUUGUUUUUUAAUUAUUAAUUUUUGUUUCAUACACUAUCUCAUUCGAUUCCUCAAAUAGAUCAUAAUUCAAAAGACUUUGGUAAUUAGUAGUAAUUUCUACAAAUCCUUGUAAGACGAUACUCUACUUAUCACCUUAUUAUUUGUUAUGAUUCGUGCACUUGUGAAAUUAACCAAUAAUCAUCAGGAGAAUAAUGAUC